GAUGAAGAACGCAGCGAAAUGCGAUACUUGGUGUGAAUUGCAGAAUCCCGUGAACCAUCGAGUCUUUGAACGCAAGUUGCGCCCGAAGCCACUAGGCCGAGGGCACGCCUGCCUGGGCGUCACACGCCGUUGCCCCCCCAUCUACUCCUUCGGGAUUGCGGGGGGGCGGAUGAUGGCCUCCUGUGCGCCUAGCCGCGCGGUUGGCAUAAAUACUAAGUCCUCGGCGACGCACGCCACGACAAUCGGUGGUUGCGAAACCUCGGUUGCCCGUCGUGUGCGUUCGUCGCGCAUCGAGGGCUCGAAAAAAUGCUCGGCUCCGGCUGGGCUUUCAACGCGACCCCAGGUCAGGCGGGGUUACCCGCUGAAUUUAAGCAUAUCAAUAAGCGGAGGA
rnacentral:misc_RNA from 1 species